rnacentral:rRNA from 1 species
GACGAACGCUGGCGGCGUGCCUAAUACAUGCAAGUAGAACGCUGAAGGAGGAGCUUGCUUCUCUGGAUGAGUUGCGAACGGGUGAGUAACGCGUAGGUAACCUGCCUGGUAGCGGGGGAUAACUAUUGGUAACGAUAGCUAAUACCGCAUAAUAGUAGAUGUUGCAUGACAUUUACUUAAAAGGUGCAAUUGCAUCACUACCAGAUGGACCUGCGUUGUAUUAGCUAGUUGGUGGGGUAACGGCUCACCAAGGCGACGAUACAUAGCCGACCUGAGAGGGUGAUCGGCCACACUGGGACUGAGACACGGCCCAGACUCCUACGGGAGGCAGCAGUAGGGAAUCUUCGGCAAUGGACGAAAGUCUGACCGAGCAACGCCGCGUGAGUGAAGAAGGUUUUCGGAUCGUAAAGCUCUGUUGUAAGAGAAGAACGAGUGUGAGAGUGGAAAGUUCACACUGUGACGGUAUCUUACCAGAAAGGGACGGCUAACUACGUG